UCUUUAAAUUCAAAGAAUUUGGCGGUAUUUUAGUCUAGUUAGAGGAACCUGUUUUAUAAUCGAUAAACCACGUAAAAUCUUACUUAUCUUAAAUAGUUUGUAUACCAUCAUUAUUAGAUAACUUUUAUAAAAUAAGUUAUUAUAAUUAAUAAAAUUAAAUAUAUUAGAUCAAGGUGCAAUAAAUAGAUAAGAAAAAAUGGGUUACAAUAAAAUUUAUUUAAAACGAAUUAUAAUAUUAAAAAUUAUAUAAAGGAGGAUUUAAUUGUAAUUUUUUUUUAAAAUGAAAAUUUGAUAUCAGCUCUAAAAUAUGUACAUAUCGCCCGUCGCUCGCGGGAAAAAA
rnacentral:rRNA from 1 species